rnacentral:misc_RNA from 1 species
GGAAAAUAGAAGCAAUUAAGUAAUUGACAAUACACUUACAGUACAGAUUGACGAUUUUGAAUGUAGAUUAAAUCUCCCCAAGAUAUAUCUGUUUAUCACUACUGCAAGAUGCAACAAUAGGCUCACUGGGAUGGAAGACACACUCAUUGACGGAUCCAGUAUGCCCAGGAAGCUUAUACAGUAUUCGUCGAGACGUUGUAUCCCAUAUGUAAACCAUCCGAUCUGAACUACCUGCAGUGACCUUGCUACCGUCUGCAGACCAACUACAUUUCAGCAGGUUCUUUUCAAAGUUAUGUUGGUGCCCUUCGAAU